rnacentral:rRNA from 1 species
AUGAAUCUCACUGCUCUGCAGCAGGAGCGCGCCCCCUCUUCGGCGCUGCUCGGUGAGAAAGGACUUGAUUCGGCUGCUUCAUCCACUACCCCAACCCCACUGGAUACUCCUGUCGCGCCCCAUAGCCGCCUCGUGGCCGUGGCGCUCACCCCAUCAUCGACCAUCGGCGUGGUCUUCUCCGGUGGUGACGGCAAGUUCGUCGGCUCCGCCACCCCUGCGACGACCAUCACCAUGCCUGCAGUCCUCCCUGACACCUAUUCACCCGCUGCAAGGACGCACAAGGUCGUUGAGGUGCUCUGUGAUGUGUCUCCUGACUGCAUCGUCAUUGCGCCCGGGACCUGUUCGACAGAAUGCUCGAACCAAGUCGGUGCCAAGUCGCUUCCGCCUCCAGUCACGGCGGCAUCACUACUCCCAAAAGCCACAUGUGCGCUCGUCGCCGACCUCGUUCAUCCUGCUACCAAUGCUGUAGCUGCAAUGCAGCCAUUCCUGGACCAUGAGCUGGACGUCUUUCCGCACACAAGGCAUCAGGGGCUGCUGCUACGGCCGACGCCAUGGCCAUCGUUUUGGAUGGAGUCUGUAGAGGGAAACGAGGUACAACCCAUUCCGUGGCCGUCGUUUCCAUUUGGAAGGUUCAUGGAGCAUAUAUGUCUGCUUGUUCAAGUGCAUCACAUUGGUUUGAUUAGUAGUACCUUUCCAUUGGACUUAUGCCAUGUUGGAGAUCUUGUCUGCAACCUUCCUCGACACUGCAUGAGGGUACUACCUGUUCAGAUUUUCUGCUUGUGGUGUUUGAAAGCGAACAAUGGCGAUUCAUGUUUCACUAAGCGGCUGUUACAUGAAGGACGCUCAAGCAGUUCUUUCCUUCAGUUCAUGCAAUCUGGACCGUAUGAACUAGGCUGCUGUGGUGACAUCAGUUGUCCAUUCAGUACACUGGACCUUUGCAUGGAGAAAAAUUCACAAAAUACUCUUAUGAUGCCUUGUAAUGUAUUACUGGACAAGGGAUGUUUACAGUAUUACAGGGUUUAUGGAGAAACCAGUUCAAAAAUGCUGCAAUCAUCACAUAUUCAGUGUGUACAGCCAAACUGUUACUUUGGGGUUGGUGUUGCCCAAGCAUAUCUGAAACAGAAGGAAACCAAUGCUGCUGUUGUUGACGUGUUGGAGCAUAGAAAUAGAACUCAUCAGGACCAUGAGUUACUUCUCUAUUUCCAGCAUCCACCUGAUCCAGCAAGUAUUUGGGAGUGCAUGACUAGCCGAAGCUUUCAUCGGGGCCAAACCUUAUUGGUCAUUUUUCAUUCAGGGCCACCACCUCACAUUAUCUCUCUGAUGGCAGUCUACUAUUAUGAUCUGAUUCUCAUGGAGGAGCACUUCGGUUGUUUGCAGAAUGCACAGUUGCAGUCUUGGUGUCUACUGGAUCAAAGAACAUAUCAUGAUAAACAGUUAAAUCAAGAAGGUUACAGUUGGACAGUGGCUCAGGGAACAUCUUGUAUUCACACAUUUCAUACAGGUUAUCUGAUCUAUGUGAAUUUUAUCAACACUACAAUGUUGGGUUCAGAGGCGAUACACGGGAAGCAAUUAAACUACAAGGGCUUGGUGUCAUAUUCAUGUUGUGUGCUACAGCAACGGGAGGGUACUGAAUAUCUUGUCCAUGGUACUGUUUCUGCUGAAUUUUAUUUGAAGAAGUACCCAUUGGUGAGGAAGCUGGAUAGAAGUGGUUCAAAUAAUUCCGUUGUUAGUACCCUUAUUUCCCUCAUGCAUAGCAGUAACAAUUGUUCUCUUCGGAAUCUCCUAUUACUUGCCUGGUUGGAUUCAGCUACAAGCCCCAGGCCCUAUGGAUGUUUUCCUGAGAAGAAUGCAUAG